UACGGGGGGUGCGAGCGUUGUCCGGAAUCACUGGGCGUAAAGGGCGCGUAGGUGGCGUGAUAAGGGUGUGGUGAAAGCCCGGGGCUCAACCCCGGGUCUGCCAUGCCGACUGUCAGGCUAGAGUACUGUAGGGGCAGGCGGAAUUCCGGGUGUAGCGGUGGAAUGCGUAGAGAUCCGGAAGAACACCGGUGGCGAAGGCGGUCUGCUGGGCAGUAGCUGACACUGAGGCGCGACAGCGUGGGGAGCAAACAGG
rnacentral:rRNA from 1 species